rnacentral:rRNA from 1 species
AUUGAACGCUGGCGGCAGGCCUAACACAUGCAAGUCGAGCGCGGAAGUUCUUCGGAAUGAGUAAAGCGGCGGACGGGUGAGUAAUACAUGGGAAUCUGCCUGGUAGUGGGGGACAACGUUUCGAAAGGAACGCUAAUACCGCAUACGCCCUACGGGGGAAAGGGGGGGAUCGCAAGACCUCUCGCUAUCAGAUGAGCCCA